rnacentral:rRNA from 1 species
AAUCAACGCUGGCGGCGUGCCUAACACAUGCAAGUUGAGCGCUUGAGGGGGCAACCCCAAGAGAGCAGCGAACGGGUGAGUAACGCGUGGGUGAUCUUCCUUCGAGUGGGGAACAACAUCGGGAAACUGGUGCUAAUUCCGCAUAACACCCUGGGGCUACGAGCCUCAGGAUCAAAGCCGGGGACCGCAAGGCCUGGCGCUUGAAGAUGAGCCCGCGUCCGAUUAGCUAGUUGGCGGGGUAAUGGCCCACCAAGGCUUCGAUCGGUAGCCGGCCUGAGAGGGCGGACGGCCACACUGGAACUGAGACACGGUCCAGACUCCUACGGGAGGCAGCAGUGGGGAAUUUUUCGCAAUGGGCGAAAGCCUGACGAAGCAACGCCGCGUGGAGGAUGAAGGUCUUCGGAUUGUAAACUCCUGUCGACCGGGACGAAUGCACCCGACCUAACACGUCGGAGUGUUGACGGUACCGGUGGAGGAAGCCACGGCUAACUCUGUGCCAGCAGCCGCGGUAACAC